CAGUCGCCGCGGUAAUACGUAGGGUGCAAGCGUUAAUCGGAAUUACUGGGCGUAAAGCGUGCGCAGGCGGUUUUGUAAGACAGAGGUGAAAUCCCGGGCUCAACCUGGGAACUGCCUUUGUGACUGCAAGGCUAGAGUACGGCAGAGGGGGAUGGAAUUCCGCGUGUAGCAGUGAAAUGCGUAGAUAUGCGGAGGAACACCGAUGGCGAAGGCAAUCCCCUGGGCCUGUACUGACGCUCAUGCACGAAAGCGUGGGGAGCAAACAGGAUUAGAUACCCCCGUAGUCCCUGUCUCUUAUACA
rnacentral:rRNA from 1 species